UAUAAACAUGUGAGGUGACCACUCUUGGC
rnacentral:piRNA from 1 species